rnacentral:rRNA from 1 species
AUAUAUAUGUUGGUUCAAGCCUGUAGUCGUGCCUGGUAGGUAAAUCCGCCGGGCUUAGAUGAGGGGUGAUAACGAGGCUGCUUGCAGUCGAAGUGAGUGAUACCCUGCUUCCAGGAAAAGCCACUAAGCUUCAGCUACACACGACCGUACCGCAAACCGACACUGGUGCGCGAGAUGAGUAUUCUAAGGCGCUUGAGAGAACUCAGGAGAAGGAACUCGGCAAAUUGACACCGUAACUUCGGAAGAAGGUGUGCCUUUAGUAGGUGAACCUGUACAAGGGGAGCCCAAUGAGGUUGCAAAAAAUCGGUGGCUGCGACUGUUUAAUAAAACACAGCACUCUGCAAACACGAAAGUGGACGUAUAGGGUGUGACGCCUGCCCGGUGCUGGAAGAUUAAAUGAUGGGGUGCAAGCUCUUGAUUGAAGUCCCAGUAAACGGCGGCCGUAACAAUAACGGUCCUAAGGUAGCGAAAUUCCUUGUCGGGUAAGUUCCGACCUGCACGAAUGGCGUAACGAUGGCCACACUGUCUCCUCCUGAGACUCAGCGAAGUUGAAAUGUUUGUGAUGAUGCAAUCUCCCCGCGGAAAGACGGAAAGACCCCAUGAACCUUUACUGUAGCUUUGUAUUGGACUUUGAACAGAUCUGUGUAGGAUAGGUGGGAGGCUUUGAAGUGUGGUCGCUAGAUCGCAUGGAGCCAACGUUGAAAUACCACCCUGGUGUGUUUGAGGUUCUAACCUAGGCCCGUAAUCCGGGUCGGGGACAGUGCAUGGUAGGCAGUUUGACUGGGGCGGUCUCCUCCCAAAGCGUAACGGAGGAGUUCGAAGGUACGCUAGGUACGGUCGGACAUCGUGCUAAUAGUGCAAUGGCAUAAGCGUGCUUAACUGCGAGACUGACAAGUCGAGCAGAUGCGAAAGCAGGACAUAGUGAUCCGGUGGUUCUGUAUGGAAGGGCCAUCGCUCAACGGAUAAAAGGUACUCUGGGGAUAACAGGCUGAUACCGCCCAAGAGUUCAUAUCGACGGCGGUGUUUGGCACCUCGAUGUCGGCUCAUCUCAUCCUGGGGCUGUAGCCGGUCCCAAGGGUAUGGCUGUUCGCCAUUUAAAGAGGUACGUGAGCUGGGUUUAAAACGUCGUGAGACAGUUUGGUCCCUAUCUUCCGUGGGCGCUGCAGAUUUGAGGAAGCCUGCUCCUAGUACGAGAGGACCGGAGUGGACACACCUCUGGUGUAUCGGUUGUCACGCCAGUGGCAUUGCCGAGUAGCUAUGUGUGGAAGAGAUAACCGCUGAAAGCAUCUAAGCGGGAAACUCGUUUCAAGAUGAGAUCUGCCGGGGCCUUGAGCCCCCUAAAGAGUCGUUCAAGACCAGGACGUUGAUAGGUCGGGUGUGGAAGCGCAGUAAUGCGUUAAGCUAACCGAUACUAAUUGCUCGUGCGGCUUGACCU